GCUCCGGUGGCCUAGUGGUUAAGGCGUCCGCCUCGGAUGCGGGAAGCGAAGGUUAGCACCCCGACCGAGUCA